CGUUGAUUACGUCCCUGCCCUUUGUACACACCGCCCGUCGCUACUACCGAUUGAAUGGCUCAGUGAGGCGUCCGGACUGGCCCAGAGAGGUGGGCAACUACCCCUCAGGGCCGGAAAGCUCUCAAAACUCGGACAAAUAAAGGAAGUAAAAGUCGUAACAAGG
rnacentral:rRNA from 1 species